GUGGGGAAUCUUCCGCAAUGGACGAAAGUCUGACGGAGCAACGCCGCGUGAGUGAUGAAGGUCUUCGGAUUGUAAAGCUCUGUUAAUCUGGACGAAAGAGCCUAGUGUGAAUAAUGCUAGGAAGUGACGGUACCGGAAUAGAAAGCCACGGCUAACUACGUGCCAGCAGCCGCGGUAAUACGUAGGUGGCAAGCGUUGUCCGGAAUUAUUGGGCGUAAAGCGCGCGCAGGCGGAUCUGCCAGUCUGUCUUAAAAGUUCGGGGCUUAACCCCGUGAUGGGAUGGAAACUACAGAUCUAGAGUAUCGGAGAGGAAAGUGGAAUUCCUAGUGUAGCGGUGAAAUGCGUAGAUAUUAGGAAGAACACCAGUGGCGAAGGCGACUUUCUGGACGAAAACUGACGCUGAGGCGCGAAAGCCAGGGGAGCGAACGGGAUUAGAUACCCCUGUAGUCC
rnacentral:rRNA from 1 species